rnacentral:snoRNA from 9 species
CGUCUGUGAUGAUAUAACUAAGGCUUGUUUAACAUUCGCAAAUGUCGUCUAAGAGCUUUAGCCCUACCAGGCUUGAGAGCUAAUGCUGCUAAUUCCUUCCUUGAUGUCUGAGCCA